CAUGGAUUUCACGGGGUUUGACCUGUGUGAGAUAAUUGCAAGUGCUAUGCAGGCUGCUUGCUCUGUCUUGACUAAAACAAGUACAGGUUUCUUCCUGUGUUGAAACAGUUCCUGCCCCCCCUUCACGUCAGAAAUGAUCCCUGCAGCUGGCCAGCACAGAUUGCUGCUGCCACAGCUGGCUGAGGUGGUGUGCGCUGCUAUCGCUGCCAGUCAGAGCAAACGAGGUUUGGCAAACUACAGCAC